rnacentral:rRNA from 1 species
AUUGUACCCGCUGAACUUAAGCAUAUCAAUAAGCGGAGGAAAAGAAACUAACAAGGAUUCCCCUAGUAACUGCGAGUGAAGCGGGAAAAGCUCAAAUUUAAAAUCUGGCGGUCUUUUGGCUGUCCGAGUUGUAAUCUAGAGAAGUGUUAUCCGCGCUGGACCGUGUACAAGUUUCCUGGAAUGGAGCAUCAUAGAGGGUGAGAAUCCCGUCUUUGACAUGGACUACCAGGGCUUUGUGAUGCGCUCUCAAAGAGUCGAGUUGUUUGGGAAUGCAGCUCAAAAUGGGUGGUAAAUUCCAUCUAAAGCUAAAUAUUGGCGAGAGACCAAUAGCGAACAAGUACCGUGAGGGAAAGAUGAAAAGAACUUUGGAAAGAGAGUUAAACAGUACGUGAAAUUGCUGAAAGGGAAACGCUUGAAGUCAGUCGCGUCAUCCAGGGAUCAACCUUGCUUUUGCUUGGUGCACUUUCUGGCUUGAUGGGUCAGCAUCAAUUUUGACCAUUGGAAAAAGGUCAAGGGAAUGUGGCAUCUUCGGAUGUGUUAUAGCCCUUGGUCACAUACAAUGGUUGGGAUUGAGGAACUCAGCACGCCGCAAGGCCGGGUUUUUAACCACGUUCGUGCUUAGGAUGCUGGCAAUAUGGCUUUAAUCGACCCGUCUUGAAACACGGACCAAGGAGUCUAACAUGCCUGCGAGUGUUUGGGUGGAAAACCCGAGCGCGUAAUGAAAGUGAAAGGUUGAGAUCCCUGUCGUGGGGAGCAUCGACGCCCGGACCAGACCUUUUGUGACGGUUCCGCGGUAGAGCAUGUAUGUUGGGACCCGAAAGAUGGUGAACUAUGCCUGAAUAGGGUGAAUCCAGAGGAAACUCUGGUGGAGGCUCGUAGCGAUUCUGACGUGCAAAUCGAUCGUCAAAUUUGGGUAUAGGGGCGAAAGACUAAUCGAACCAUCUAGUAGCUGGGUUCCUGCCGAAGUUUCCCUCAGAUAUC